AGAUGUGAGGGUAAUCUGGUGGCAACAUCUGUGGUCCCAUUGAUCACCAGGGUUGAUUCUGCUGCUCUGGCAGCUGGGGCUGGAGGAGAUGUCCCCUUCCUCCUUCUGUUCCAUGUGCAUCCCUCAUGAAGCUGCACCUUCUGAGGACAGGUGAGGACCUUCAGUCAGCAUUGAAAACUGCGCCCUGCUAGAGCCUCCAAACAGCUGUCAAGGUAAGGGAACGUGACACAGAGAGACGCCUACCGUCACCGUCCUUUAAACAUUGUACCGGG
rfam:Cavia porcellus supercont2_10 genomic scaffold, whole genome shotgun sequence.